GACGAACGCUGGCGGCGUGCCUAAUACAUGCAAGUCGAACGCAGUGGGGACGGGUGAGUAACACGUGGGUAACCUCCCAUCAGAGGGGAUAACACUUGGAAACAGGUGCUAAACCGAUACUGAUGGAUGGACCCGCGGUGCAUUGGCUAGUUGGUGAGGUAACGGCGCACCAAGGCCACGAGGCAUAGCCGGCCUGAGAGGGUGAUCGGCCACACGGGGACUGAGACACGGACCAGAGUCCUACGGUAGGCAGCAGUAGGGAAUCGUCGGCAAUGGACGAAAGUCUGACCGAGCAAUGCCGCGUGAGGGAAGAAGGGUUUCGGAUCGUAAAAUUCUGUUGUUAGAGAAGCGGUAUCUAACCAGAAAGCCACGGCUAACUACGUGCCAGCAGCCGCGGUAAUUC
rnacentral:rRNA from 1 species